GUCAAAUAUAUCACAAAAAUAGUUUUUUUCAAAGCUAAACGUCUCAUGGCAUCAUUACUUUCAAAAUUAUGCCUGGAAGUAUUCUCAAUUCACAAACACAACAAUUUGUGUUGAACUUGUGCGAAUAUUUUGAAAGGGAGAGAGCGCUUGGAGAACCUUUGUUACCAUUUUCAUCUGUUCAAGAGAGAGUUGCAGAUGCACUUAAA